CCUACGGGGAGCAGCAGUGAGGAAUAUUGGUCAAUGGACGAGAGUCUGAACCAGCCAAGUAGCGUGAAGGAUGACUGCCCUCUGGGUUGUAAACUUCUUUUAUAUGGGAAUAAAACGUUCCACGUGUGGGAUUUUGUAUGUACCAUAUGAAUAAGGAUCGGCUAACUCCGUGCCAGCAGCCGCGGUAAUACGGAGGAUCCGAGCGUUAUCCGGAUUUAUUGGGUUUAAAGGGAGCGUAGGUGGAUUGUUAAGUCAGUUGUGAAAGUUUGCGGCUCAACCGUAAAAUUGCAGUUGAAACUGGCAGUCUUGAGUACAGUAGAGGUGGGCGGAAUUCGUGGUGUAGCGGUGAAAUGCUUAGAUAUCACGAAGAACUCCGAUUGCGAAGGCAGUUCACUGGACUGCAACUGACACUGAGGCUCGAAAGUGUGGGUAUCAAACAGGAUUAGAUACCCCUGUAGUC
rnacentral:rRNA from 1 species